UUGUUAGCGUUCAGCAGGAGGUCUUUGUAUUGUUUCCUUGUUGCUUAGACAUAAGAAUGUGAUGGAGCUGAGAAGGGGGAAUAAACUGCAGACCGUGGAAUUGUUCUUCAGCUCACACCUCCACUCCUAUGUUCCUCCAAUACCAGAGGAUUUCGUUGUGUUUGAAGUUGUGAUCAGCUGUGACUCAAGACUGAGGCUCAGGGCUCCUCCUGGCCAAAGACGGAGCUUCUUUCACCCAGUCUGGAAUGCAGCGGCGUGAUCUCAGCUCACUGCAACCUCCACCUACCAGGUUCAAGUGAUUCUCUUGCCUCAGCCUCCCGACUAGCUAGGAUUACAGGUGCACCACCAUGCCCGACUAAUGUUUGUAUAUUUAGUAAAGACGUGGUUUCUCCAGUUGGCGAAGCUGGUCUUGAACUCCUAACCUCAGAUGAUCUGCCUGCCUCAGCCUCUGAAAGUGCUGGGAUUACAGACGUAAGCCACCACGCCCGGCCUACAACACUAUUGUGCUUCUGACAAUAUAACUUUGGUCAGUUCAUUAAAUCCACACCUAAGAGAAAUACGUAGUAUUCAGGGAUUAACAUUUGUUGGAAAUUUUGGUUCCCUGGAGGGAGAAGGAAUAUUCAAAAGAGGAGUGUGUUCUGGUUGGGGUGAUGAACUUGGAUGGCCAGAGAUUAUCUCUGGGAAACCUGAUGACUAAGCCCAGAGGCCUGUGUGUUAAGUAUGAGAAGUCCUGAAGGGGAGGUUGAGAGCAACUAUGUUGCAGUUUUGUUUUCUGCCCCCUUAAGUCUUUACUGGGAGACAGUUGGAAGGUGCUCAUCCUUUACUCAUAUUCCUCCAGUUCACCUCAUAGCCUCUUUCCAGCCCACUCCAGGCUUCUAUUCAAUACCUGACCUCCCUGCUGGGAUAGAAAGGAUGCACUUUAUGCAUUCUGUCCUUCUUUAUUUUCAUUUUUACAAUUAGAUCCUUCUGUCCCUCCCCUCCCCUCCCCUCCCUCCCAUCCUUCCUAACAAAUAACAGUGUGUCCAGGGCGACUCCUGCUGCUUAACUUCACACACCUACCUGUGCCCAAACCUCUCAGCAAGGCUGUCAAGAAGGGGCAGCAGAGACAGUAGUGAUUGGUGAUUGCAUUGUAAUAAAGUGCCUCGAAUCUGACAGCCUGUGGUUAGGACAUACAGGGUGGCUGCCAACCCCUGGAAUACAGUAUUAAGUAUACUGUUCGCAAGUUUGUUAAUGUGGAAUUAACUCAAUGAUCAUGGAUCUUUAAUUUACUCUGAA